AUGGACGUAGCAGAAUACCUUAGCAGAGGUGGGGUGGAUUGGGAGGACGAGUACUGGACCUUUUUGAGAUGCAGAUUACGUAAAGACCUGCGCCGUGCAUCCCUUGUGCGUGGUCCAUCCUCCCCAGUUCCAGCAGUACCCAAUGCCCCAGCCUCUGCUCCAGCGCUACCCGCUGCACCAGCCGCGCCUGCUCAAGCUGCACCCGCUUCUCCAGCUCAAGCACCUGCAGCACCCGCUGCCCCAGCCUCAGCUCCAGCACCAGCAGUGCCUGCCGCCCAUGUGGUACCCACUGCCUCUGACCCUGUGCCCGCGGCUCCGGCCGCCUCUGACCCUGUACCCGCGGCUCCGCCUCUGACCCUGUGCCCAUUCCCAGAACUAAGCACACCCCCAGGUCGUGUGCUCCCCAACCUGCUCCAAGGUCUCCUGCUCCAGCCCCUCGAACUCUGCCCAGCCUGGCCCCUAAGACUUUGAACCUUACCAGUCCUGGGCUCCAGUCUAUGUGUGUAUUUGUACCCGGGUCUAUCCCUGUAUUAGUUCCUGUUUCCCUCUGUGUCCCUUUACCUGUUUCAGUUUGUGUUUCAGUUCCUGUUCGUGUCACUGUGUUCGUGUCCGUCCCUGUCAAUGUUUUUGUCCCAGUUUCCCUGCCCAGUCUUGUCCAGUCCUCAUUCCCGUCCACUAUCCCAUCUGCGUUUCUGUCUAGUGUUCAGCCCCAUGUGCAGUCCCAGUUCCCGGCCACUGUCCAGUCUGUGUUUCAACCCCCUGUCCAGUCUCCAUCCCUGUCUAGUGUCCAGCCCUCUGUCCAGUCUAGUGUCCACUCCUCUGUCCAGUCUCAGCCCUUUGUCCAGUCUAAGCCCCCUGCCCAUUCUUUUGUCCAGUCUCAGCCCCCUGUCCAGUCUUUUGUCCAGUCUCAGCCCCCUGUCCAGUCUUUUGUCCAGU
rnacentral:lncRNA from 1 species